rnacentral:misc_RNA from 1 species
UACGUAGGGGGCAAGCGUUGUCCGGAAUUAUUGGGCGUAAAGAGCUCGUAGGCGGUCCGCUUAGUCAGAUGUGAAAUCUCAGGGCUUAACCCUGAAACUGCAUCUGAUACUGGCGGACUUGAGGCAGGUAGGGGAAGGUGGAAUUCCUGGUGUAGCGGUGAAAUGCGCAGAUAUCAGGAGGAACACCAGUGGCGAAGGCGGCCUUCUGGGCCUGUACUGACGCUGAGGAGCGAAAGCGUGGGGAGCGAACAGG